UGCAUCGAUGAAGAACGCAGCGAAAUGCGAUACGUAAUGUGAAUUGCAGAAUUCAGUGAAUCAUCGAAUCUUUGAACGCAUGUGCAUCGAUGAAGAACGCAGCGAAAUGCGAUAAGUAAUGUGAAUUGCAGAAUUCAGUGAAUCAUCGAAUCUUUGAACGCAACUUGCGCUCUCUGGUAUUCCGGAGAGCAUGCCUGUUUGAGUGUCAUGAAAUCUCAACCAUUAGGGUUUCUUAAUGGCUUGGAUUUGGAGGUUGCCAUUCUAAAUGGCUCCUCUUAAAGGAGUUAGCAAGUUUUACUAUUGCUAUCUGGCGUAAUAAGUUUCGCUGGAAUGGUAUUGUGAAGCGUGCUUCUAAUCGUCUUCGGACAAUUACUUUGACUCUGGCCUCAAAUCAGGUAGGACUACCCGCUGAACUUAAGCAUAUCAAUA
rnacentral:rRNA from 1 species